rnacentral:rRNA from 1 species
UACAGAGGUCUCAAGCGUUGUUCGGAUUCAUUGGGCGUAAAGGGUGCGUAGGUGGCGCCGUAAGUCAGGUGUGAAAUUUCGGAGCUUAACUCCGAAACUGCAUUUGAUACUGCGGUGCUUGAGGACUGGAGAGGAGACUGGAAUUCACGGUGUAGCAGUGAAAUGCGUAGAUAUCGUGAGGAAGACCAGUGGCGAAGGCGGGUCUCUGGGCAUUAACUGACGCUGAGGAGCGAAAGCAUGGGGAGCGAACAGG